rnacentral:rRNA from 1 species
AUUGAACGCUGGCGGCAUGCUUUACACAUGCAAGUCGAACGGCAGCGCGGGCUUCGGCCUGGCGGCGAGUGGCGAACGGGUGAGUAAUGCAUCGGAACGUGCCCAGUAGUGGGGGAUAGCCCGGCGAAAGCCGGAUUAAUACCGCAUACGACCUGAGGGUGAAAGCGGGGGACCGAAAGGCCUCGCGCUAUUGGAGCGGCCGAUGUCGGAUUAGCUAGUUGUUGGGGUAAAGGCUUACCAAGGCGACGAUCCGUAGCUGGUCUGAGAGGACGACCAGCCACACUGGGACUGAGACACGGCCCAGACUCCUACGGGAGGCAGCAGUGGGGAAUUUUGGACAAUGGGGGCAACCCUGAUCCAGCCAUGCCGCGUGCGGGAAGAAGGCCUUCGGGUUGUAAACCGCUUUUGUUCGGGAAGAAAUCCUCUGGGCUAAUACCCCGGGGGGAUGACGGUACCGGAAGAAUAAGCACCGGCUAACUACGUG